rnacentral:rRNA from 1 species
CAGGCCUAACACAUGCAAGUCGAACGGGCACCUUCGCCUGUCAGUGGCAGACGGGUGAGUAACACGUGGGAACGUGCCCUUCGGUUCGGAAUAACUCAGGGAAACUUGAGCUAAUACCGGAUACGCCCUUACGGGGAAAGGUUUACUGCCGAAGGAUCGGCCCGCGUCUGAUUAGCUAGUUGGUGAGGUAACGGCUCACCAAGGCGACGAUCAGUAGCUGGUCUGAGAGGAUGAUCAGCCACACUGGGACUGAGACACGGCCCAGACUCCUACGGGAGGCAGCAGUGGGGAAUAUUGGACAAUGGGCGAAAGCCUGAUCCAGCCAUGCCGCGUGAGUGAUGAAGGCCUUAGGGUUGUAAAGCUCUUUCGACGGGGACGAUAAUGACGGUACCCGUAGAAGAAGCCCCGGCUAACUUCGUGCCAGCAGCCGCGGUAAU